AGCAGCCGCGGUAAUUCCAGCUCCAAUAGCGUAUAUUAAAGUUGUUGCAGUUAAAAAGCUCGUAGUUGAAUUUCGGGAUCAUCAGGUUGGUCGUGCCUCUGGUAUGUACUUUCCUCGAUGGUUCCUCCUUCUUGAAGAUCCGUAAUGUCAUUAAUUUGGUGUUGCGGGGAAUCAGGACUGUUACUUUGAAAAAAUUAGAGUGUUUAAAGCAGGCAAUCGCUUGAAUACAUUAGCAUGGAAUAAUGAAAUAGGACGUUCGAUCCUAUUUUGUUGGUUUCUAGGAUUGACGUAAUGAUUAAUAGGGAUAGUUGGGGGCAUUAGUAUUCAAUUGUCAGAGGUGAAAAUUCUUGGAUUUAUUGAAGACUAACUACUGCGAAAGCAUUUGCCAAGGAUGUUUUCAUUAAUCAAGAACGAAAGUUAGGGAUCGAAGACGAUCAGAUACCGUCGUAG
rnacentral:rRNA from 1 species